GGAAAUGACGCCAGGGGAUGCAAACCCUUCUGCCCCUUUUUGCUACCCCUGAAGCUUACUGUUAGUGGUCGAGUUUUUCUGGAAGUGGGCUUCCGCGAUCGCGGGGACCAACGCCCUGAGCUCUUGUGCCCAAAGGGGAUCGCCAGGUUUUUUGAUGCGGAUCGAAAGGGACUGGCCCCGGAGCCUACAACCUGACGCAGGUGGGACUUGGGGAAAUGUCGAGAAACCUAGGUCUGGGACUUGAGUUGGCUUCCAGGGCACACAUUCUUGUUCAGAAGAAACACAUUGCAAAAAUCGGGAGGUGACGGGCAGAUGAAGUGUCGGCGCUUCGCCUCGGGACUCCAGUGCAACCUAUGGGGCUUUUGGAAAUGAGGAAGUCGAUGACUCUGCAGGGACUCCUCUGACCCAGGAGCAGAUGGCGCUCGUCUGGGCACUCCCCAGGAGAAAAGGUGCAUCGGGAAGCAGCCUGGCUUGUGGAUGGUGGACAAGGUGGAGGAGAGAGAAUUCCUUGGCAGUAGCAUUAUGAACAAAUGCAGGGCUGAGAAACAGCAUGGUGGCCUUGACUAAGUUUAUGGCGACAGCAGGCGAUGCCUCUUCAUGGGUGGUGGAUGAAGAAACUGAACAGGGCCAUGAUCCUUAUCUGUAAUUUCCCGGCUACCACACUGCUUUGGUGGUCUUCCCUCGUCUCUUCCUGGGUAGAAACAACUACCUGGAGAUCCCAAUGUUCUUGUCAGUGCACUUUUCAUGGACUGCAGUGGUAAGACGAUGUGUUGGAUGCCCAAACACAAACCAAGAGCCCUCUACCUUCGCAAUUCCCGGUGCUGUGGAGCUGUCAGAGUUUUAACAUCUCAACCAAGCCACAUGGAUACUAUUUCCUCAGAAAAGACAAAAUUGAUCCAAGCAGAAGAGUGAACUCACCGAAGAGGACUCUCUACCCAUAACUGGGGAUGCCUCAGCCACUCACACUUACUCCAAGAUUAGUGUCACUGAUUAUGGAAAGAAUUGACUUCUUCCCCUGGUCUUGCUCAUUUUUCUAGAGCCCAGGACAAUAAAUGUGUUUUACGGCAGAGAAAAGUGAAGACGGGUGGAAUUGUGUGUGUUGAGAGAGAAGCAGAUAGGCAAUCUUACGCUUUGGCUCCUAGAUUAUGCAGGUGCCUCUUUUCUAUCAUCUCCAUAAAUCCUACCCUUACUGCGCUUCCUAUUCUGCAGGGGUAUUUUGUUGUCCGUAACAGAACUCCUCCUCUGUCUGUAAAGUUUAGGUUUUGAUAAAAAAUCCUCUUCCCUCCAGAAGCGUCUACUAAAAAUACAAAAAAAUUAGCUGGGUGUGGUGGCAUCCACCUGUAGUCCCAGUUACUCAGGAGACUGAGGCAGGAGAAUCGCUUGAAACUGGGAGGCGGAGGUCGCAGUGAGCCAAGAUCAUGCCACCGCACUCCAGCCUGGGUGAGAGUGAUACUCCGUCUCAAAAAACAAAUGAACAAUAAAAAACAAACAAAAAA
rnacentral:lncRNA from 1 species